rnacentral:lncRNA from 1 species
GCUUGACAAAUGAUGGGACAAUGACAAUAAAGUUAGAUGCUAUAAAUUGGAGUCUAUAGUUGAAGAACUCCAAUGCAUGCAUAAGGACGUGUAGACUGUCAAUAACAUGCUGACUCAUCUGCAAUAAUUAAGAGAUGAUCAGAGUCACACAAUGCAUGAGAUACGUGAUGGGCAGUUUAUCCAUGGUCACUGUUUGACAAUGAUUAAGGAUAUUGAGAAGCUUGAGAAGCUUG